AUUGAACGCUGGCGGCAUGCCUUACACAUGCAAGUCGAACGGCAGCACGGGGCAACCUGGUGGCGAGUGGCGAACGGGUGAGUAAUGCAUCGGAACGUACCUUUCAGUGGGGGAUAACGUAGCGAAAGUUACGCUCAUGCCGCAUAUUCGGUGAGCAGGAAAGCAGGGGAUCGCAAGACCUUGCGCUGAUUGAGCGGCCGAUGUCCGAUUCGCUAGUUGGUGAGGUAAAGGCUCGCCAAGGCGACGAUCUGUAGCGGGUCUGAGCGGAUGAGCCGCCACACUUGAACAGAGACACGGUCCAGACUCCUACGGGAGGCAGCAGUGGGGAAUUUUGGACAAUGGGGGCGACCCUGAUACAGCCAUGCCGCGUGAGUGAAGAAGGCCUUCGGGUUGUAAAGCUCUUUCGGCCGGGAAGAAAUCGCACGGGCUAAUACCCUGUGUGGAUGACGGUACCGGAAUAAGAAGCACCGGCUAACUACGUGCCAGCCGCCGCCGUAAUAC
rnacentral:rRNA from 1 species